rnacentral:rRNA from 1 species
UAAGGAAUAUUGCUCAAUGGGAGAAAUCCUGAAGCAGCAACGCCGCGUGAGGGACGACGGCCUUCGGGUUGUAAACCUCUUUUAGCAGGGAAGAAGCGAAAGUGACGGUACCUGCAGAAAAAGCACCGGCUAACUACGUGCCAGCAGCCGCGGUAAUACGUAGGGUGCAAGCGUUGUCCGGAAUUAUUGGGCGUAAAGAGCUCGUAGGCGGUUUGUCACGUCUGCUGUGAAAACCCGAGGCUCAACCUCGGGCUUGCAGUGGGUACGGGCAGACUAGAGUGCGGUAGGGGGAGAUUGGAAUUCCUGGUGUAGCGGUGGAAUGCGCAGAUAUCAGGAGGAACACCGAUGGCGAAGGCAGAUCUCUGGGCCGUAACUGACGCUGAGGAGCGAAAGCAUGGGGAGCAAACAGGCUUAGAUACCCUGGUAGUCCAUGCCGUAAACGUUGGGAACUAGAUGUGGGGAGCCAUUCCACGGUCUCCGUGUCGUAGCUAACGCAUUAAGUUCCCCCGCCUGGGGAGUACGGCC